UCUGGGAAUGAAUGCUUCUGUUUAUCUGGGGUGGUCUCUGGAUGCAUUGGUGCUGGGUUCCUGUAAAGUGUACGUAGGAAAGAGAAAGAAGACAUCUCAGAAAAGGAAGGAAAAAAAUAAGAAAUCCCCGGACACCUCCAUCCAUGAGCCGCUUAUUAGCCUUCUCCUCCGGAUCACUCAUUUUUAGAAAGAAAAACGAGAAAAAAAAGGCAGAAUGUUGGAAGGAAAGGCAAUGAUCCAGGACACAGAUAUGCCACUGAAGAUGCAGCUGCAAGCCAUGUCUUGUGCCUCUGUAGCUCUUGACCUCUUUGAUGUUCUUGACUGCAAGAGCAUAGCUGCUCACAUCAAGAAGGAGUUUGAUCUAAGUUAUGGACCUGGAUGGCAGUGCGUGGUGGGUUCCAACUUUGGUUGUUUCUUCACCCACACAAGGGGCACCUUCAUCUACUUCUGCCUGGAAACUCUCAACUUUCUCAUCUUCAAGGGAGCUGCUGGUGGUGGUGGUGGUUAGUUAGGGUUGGAAGUUCAAAAGUAAUAAAGCUGUGAUCUCCUCCCUCAAGUCUCACAUGUUAUCUGUGGAAAUUUAGAUGUUGUUCCUGUACAAAUACUAGGCAAGGUUUCACUCUUCUUUUUCAGAUCCAACAAACUUCUUCCCAUGUUAUUGAAAGGCAUGCUUGUGCAAACAAACACCAACUGGGGAUAGAAGUGGCUUGUUCAUCACAUUUGCUUCCAGGUUUCCAAGGAUCAGAUCUGCCAUUGCAUAUAAAAAUUGGGAUUUUUAGGCGGCAGCGGACGUCGCCUAGCCCCAGCGAACAGCCGCCCUCCGCUUACGGACGGAUAAGGCAUGCGCCACCUUCCCUGCCCUACCCAAGGCCUCCACGUCGCCCCACCGCUAUUUUCCAAAGCUGGCGCCGCCCUCCACCGGCCUUUCCCUUCCUAUCCUGAGCCACUAACACCGCCGUCCACACCGACUCCAUUCUCCCCCCUUUGCGUGACCGCCACCGCUGCUUCGAUCUCCUCUCGGCCGCCAUCCUCCACCAACACCGCCACCGCUGCUGUAGCCGCCCGACCACUGCCCACCCACUGGCACCACCCCGGCCGCCCAUUUCUACGAUCGCCGUAACCCUCAACGAUAUUCGUUUUCCCCUUCCCUCUUUAGAAAAGCAAACCUACCUAUUAUCUAAGUUUUAUUUUAAUUUUUAUAAAAAAAAACUAUUUUUUAUUGCCCCGGGCUAUGGUAUAAGCAGCGGGACGGAUUCCCCGGUAACGAUGGUACUUGUGAGUCGUGACGCUAGCCGUCUGAUCGGGCCCAUCCGCUUCCCGAUAAAGAAUCUCAAUUUUGAGAUAUUAUUAACUUGUUAUACCAUAAUUUUAGAUGCUAUAAACGUGUCUUCCACAUAAAUUUACCAGUUCUAUUAAUAGUUAAUAGUCAUUCUUAAGUUAUCAAUUUUGAAUUGGCAUGAAGAUAGAUUGACAGAGUUAUUGAGAUGAGCGGAUCGUCUUUUAUAAUAUUUUAGAUAUUAUAAAAAUUUUCACGGUACUAACUGAGUUAGUAUUUGAGUAUGAAAUUAUCAUAAUAGAUUUUGGAUUUAAAUAGCGGGAUUUGUCCUGUUAGGUUCUUUCACUUAGGAGGUCGUUUGAUUGGACGAAUGAUUUUCAUGAUUUAUUUUCUUUCAUUAUAUUUGGAAUAGUUUUGGAGAGGCUAUGAACGAGGAUUCUAACUUUUUGUCAUAAUUUUAAAUGUCAUAAAAGCCUUCCGGAUUGAUCAUGUCCGAAGGCGUGAAGCUGGAAAAUCGAAGAUGUGGUAGUUUCGUUGAUUGGAUGAAGACCUCGCUCCUCUCUGCAAAACAAAAUCAAAUCAGGGAAGAGGUCUUAGCUUUGGUCCUCCGAUGCUCAAGUCAGAAAUAGAAGAAGACGGGAGAGUGAAAGUACUAGGGACAGAAAUUUAUCUUACCUUUUUUCAUACUUGGCACUUUUUUAUACCUUUCUUAGUGGCAUUUCCUCUUCCCCUGUUUAAUGUUAUUAAUUACCAA